GGUUAAGUGACUAAGCGUACACGGUGGAUGCCUAGGCAGUCAGAGGCGAUGAAGGGCGUGCUAAUCUGCGAAAAGCGUCGGUAAGGUGAUAUGAACCGUUAUAACCGGCGAUACCCGAAUGGGGAAACCCAGUGUGUUUCGACACACUAUCAUGUCAUGAAUACAUAGUGGCAUGAGGCGAACCGGGGGAACUGAAACAUCUAAGUACCCCGAGGAAAAGAAAUCAACCGAGAUUCCCCCAGUAGCGGCGAGCGAACGGGGAGGAGCCCAGAACCUGAAUCGGCUUGUGUGUUAGUGGAAGCGUCUGGAAAGUCGCGCAGCAAAGGGUGAUAGCCCCGUACACUAAAAUGCACAGGUCGUGAGUUCGAUGAGUAGGGCGGGACACGUGACAUCCUGUCUGAAUAUGGGGGGACCAUCCUCCAAGGCUAAAUACUCCUGACUGACCGAUAGUGAACCAGUACCGUGAGGGAAAGGCGAAAAGAACCCCGGCGAGGGGAGUGAAAUAGAACCUGAAACCGUGUACGUACAAGCAGUGGGAGCACCUUCGUGGUGUGACUGCGUACCUUUUGUAUAAUGGGUCAGCGACUUAUAUUUUGUAGCAAGGUUAACCGUAUAGGGGAGCCGUAGGGAAACCGAGUCUUAACUGGGCGACUAGUUGCAAGGUAUAGACCCGAAACCCGGUGAUCUAGCCAUGGGCAGGUUGAAGGUUGGGUAACACUAACUGGAGGACCGAACCGACUAAUGUUGAAAAAUUAGCGGAUGACUUGUGGCUGGGGGUGAAAGGCCAAUCAAACCGGGAGAUAGCUGGUUCUCCCCGAAAGCUAUUUAGGUAGCGCCUCGUGAACUCAUCUUCGGGGGUAGAGCACUGUUUCGGCUAGGGGGCCAUCCCGGCUUACCAAACCGAUGCAAACUCCGAAUACCGAAGAAUGUUAUCACGGGAGACACACGGCGGGUGCUAACGUCCGUCGUGAAGAGGGAAACAACCCAGACCGCCAGCUAAGGUCCCAAAGUCAUGGUUAAGUGGGAAACGAUGUGGGAAGGCAUAGACAGCCAGGAUGUUGGCUUAGAAGCAGCCAUCAUUUAAAGAAAGCGUAAUAGCUCACUGGUCGAGUCGGCCUGCGCGGAAGAUGUAACGGGGCUAAACCAUGCACCGAAGCUGCGGCAGCGACGCUUAGGCGUUGUUGGGUAGGGGAGCGUUCUGUAAGCCGUUGAAGGUGGCCUGUGAGGGUUGCUGGAGGUAUCAGAAGUGCGAAUGCUGACAUAAGUAACGAUAAAGCGGGUGAAAAGCCCGCUCGCCGGAAGACCAAGGGUUCCUGUCCAACGUUAAUCGGGGCAGGGUGAGUCGACCCCUAAGGCGAGGCUGAAAAGCGUAGUCGAUGGGAAACAGGUUAAUAUUCCUGUACUUGGUGUUACUGCGAAGGGGGGACGGAGAAGGCUAGGCUGGCCGGGCGACGGUUGUCCCGGUUUAAGCGUGUAGGGGGUGUGACCUGGUAAAUCCGGUUGCAUAUUAACCCUGAGGCGUGAUGACGAUGCACUACGGUGCAGAAGUAGUUGAUGCCCUGCUUCCAGGAAAAUCCUCUAAGCUCCAGGUAACAUUAAAUCGUACCCCAAACCGACACAGGUGGUCAGGUAGAGAAUACCAAGGCGCUUGAGAGAACUCGGGUGAAGGAACUAGGCAAAAUGGUGCCGUAACUUCGGGAGAAGGCACGCUGGCAUGUAGGUGAAGUCCCUCGCGGAUGGAGCUGAAGCCAGUCGAAGAUACCAGCUGGCUGCAACUGUUUAAUAAAAACACAGCACUGUGCAAACACGAAAGUGGACGUAUACGGUGUGACGCCUGCCCGGUGCUGGAAGGUUAAUUGAUGGGGUCAGCCGCAAGGCGAAGCUCUUGAUCGAAGCCCCAGUAAACGGCGGCCGUAACUAUAACGGUCCUAAGGUAGCGAAAUUCCUUGUCGGGUAAGUUCCGACCUGCACGAAUGGCGUAAUGAUGGCCAGGCUGUCUCCACCCGAGACUCAGUGAAAUUGAACUCGCUGUGAAGAUGCAGUGUACCCGCGGCAAGACGGAAAGACCCCGUGAACCUUUACUAUAGCUUGACACUGAACAUUGAGCCUUGAUGUGUAGGAUAGGUGGGAGGCUUUGAAGCGUGGACGCCAGUCUGCGUGGAGCCAUCCUUGAAAUACCACCCUUUAAUGUUUGAUGUUCUAACUCGGCCCCGUGAUCCGGGGUGAGGACAGUGUCUGGUGGGUAGUUUGACUGGGGCGGUCUCCUCCCAAAGAGUAACGGAGGAGCACGAAGGUUAGCUAAUCACGGUCGGACAUCGUGAGGUUAGUGCAAAGGCAUAAGCUAGCUUGACUGCGAGAGUGACGGCUCGAGCAGGUACGAAAGUAGGUCUUAGUGAUCCGGUGGUUCUGAAUGGAAGGGCCAUCGCUCAACGGAUAAAAGGUACUCCGGGGAUAACAGGCUGAUACCGCCCAAGAGUUCAUAUCGACGGCGGUGUUUGGCACCUCGAUGUCGGCUCAUCACAUCCUGGGGCUGAAGUAGGUCCCAAGGGUAUGGCUGUUCGCCAUUUAAAGUGGUACGCGAGCUGGGUUUAGAACGUCGUGAGACAGUUCGGUCCCUAUCUGCCGUGGGCGUUGGAAGAUUGAGAGGGGUUGCUCCUAGUACGAGAGGACCGGAGUGAACGCACCACUGGUGUUCGGGUUGUCAUGCCAAUGGCAUUGCCCGGUAGCUAAGUGCGGAAAAGAUAAGCGCUGAAAGCAUCUAAGCGCGAAACUUGCCUCAAGAUGAGUCUUCCCUGGGCCUU
rnacentral:rRNA from 1 species